rnacentral:rRNA from 1 species
CCUACGGGAGGCAGCAGUGAGGAAUAUUCGUCAAUGGCCGGAAGGCUGAACGAGCCAUGCCGCGUGAAGGUCAGUGCCCUACGGGCGUUAAACUUCUUUUGUGCGGGAGCAAUAAUGGUCACGGGUGGCCAUACGAGAGUACCGUUCGAAUAAGCAUCGGCUAACUCUGUGCCAGCAGCCGCGGUCAUACGGGGGCAGCAAGCGUUAUCCGGAUUCAUUGGGUUUAAAGGGUGCGUAGGCGGAUAGUCAAGUCAGCGGUAAAACUGCGGUGCUCAACGCCGUACCGCCGUUGAUACUAGCAGUCUUGAGUGAGAGAGAAGUAAGCGGAAUGCGUUGUGAAGCGGUGAAAUGCAUAGAUAUCACGAAGAACUCCGAAUGCGAAGGCAGCAUACCGGCGCCAGACUGACGCUGAGGCACGAAAGCGUGGGUAUCGAACAGGAUUAGAUACCCCAGUAGUC